GGUGAACGCUGGCGGCGUGCCUAACACAUGCAAGUCGAGCGGUGCAGUUUGAAGCUUCGGUGGAAAGCUGCAUAGCGGCGGACGGGUGAGGAAAACGUAGGAACGUGCCCCUUGGAGUUGGAUAGCCACGGGAAACUGUGGGUAAACCGACAUAGACUCGAGAGAGUAAAGGCCGAAAGGCGCCAAGGGAGCGGCCUGCGGCCCAUCAGGUAGUUGGUAGUGUAAAGGACUACCAAGCCGACGACGGGUAGCCGGUCUGAGAGGAUGGCCGGCCACAAGGGCACUGAGAGACGGGCCCUACUCCUACGGGAGGCAGCAGUGGGGGAUUUUGGACAAUGGGCGAAAGCCUGAUCCAGCGACGCCGCGUGGAGGACGAAGCCCUUCGGGUGUAAACUCCUUUUCUCAGGGAAAAAGGAUGAUGGUACCUGAGGAAUAAGCCCCGGCUAACUACGUG
rnacentral:rRNA from 1 species